GGGUUGUGAGGUUAAGCGACUAAGCGUACACGGUGGAUGCCCUGGCAGUCAGAGGCGAUGAAGGACGUGCUAAUCUGCGAUAAGCGUCGGUAAGGUGAUAUGAACCGUUAUAACCGGCGAUUUCCGAAUGGGGAAACCCAGUGUGUUUCGACACACUAUCAUUAACUGAAUCCAUAGGUUAAUGAGGCGAACCGGGGGAACUGAAACAUCUAAGUACCCCGAGGAAAAGAAAUCAACCGAGAUUCCCCCAGUAGCGGCGAGCGAACGGGGAGCAGCCCAGAGCCUGAAUCAGUGUGUGUGUUAGUGGAAGCGUCUGGAAAGGCGCGCGAUACAGGGUGACAGCCCCGUACACAAAAAUGCACAUGCUGUGAGCUCGAUGAGUAGGGCGGGACACGUGGUAUCCUGUCUGAAUAUGGGGGGACCAUCCUCCAAGGCUAAAUACUCCUGACUGACCGAUAGUGAACCAGUACCGUGAGGGAAAGGCGAAAAGAACCCCGGCGAGGGGAGUGAAAAAGAACCUGAAACCGUGUACGUACAAGCAGUGGGAGCCUCUUUAUGGGGUGACUGCGUACCUUUUGUAUAAUGGGUCAGCGACUUAUAUUCUGUAGCAAGGUUAACCAAAUAGGGGAGCCGAAGGGAAACCGAGUCUUAACUGGGCGUUAAGUUGCAGGGUAUAGACCCGAAACCCGGUGAUCUAGCCAUGGGCAGGUUGAAGGUUGGGUAACACUAACUGGAGGACCGAACCGACUAAUGUUGAAAAAUUAGCGGAUGACUUGUGGCUGGGGGUGAAAGGCCAAUCAAACCGGGAGAUAGCUGGUUCUCCCCGAAAGCUAUUUAGGUAGCGCCUCGUGAAUUCAUCUCCGGGGGUAGAGCACUGUUUCGGCAAGGGGGUCAUCCCGACUUACCAACCCGAUGCAAACUGCGAAUACCGGAGAAUGUUAUCACGGGAGACACACGGCGGGUGCUAACGUCCGUCGUGAAGAGGGAAACAACCCAGACCGCCAGCUAAGGUCCCAAAGUCAUGGUUAAGUGGGAAACGAUGUGGGAAGGCCCAGACAGCCAGGAUGUUGGCUUAGAAGCAGCCAUCAUUUAAAGAAAGCGUAAUAGCUCACUGGUCGAGUCGGCCUGCGCGGAAGAUGUAACGGGGCUAAACCAUGCACCGAAGCUGCGGCAGCGACGCUUAUGCGUUGUUGGGUAGGGGAGCGUUCUGUAAGCCUGUGAAGGUGUACUGUGAGGUAUGCUGGAGGUAUCAGAAGUGCGAAUGCUGACAUAAGUAACGAUAAAGCGGGUGAAAAGCCCGCUCGCCGGAAGACCAAGGGUUCCUGUCCAACGUUAAUCGGGGCAGGGUGAGUCGACCCCUAAGGCGAGGCCGAAAGGCGUAGUCGAUGGGAAACAGGUUAAUAUUCCUGUACUUGGUGUUACUGCGAAGGGGGGACGGAGAAGGCUAUGUUGGCCGGGCGACGGUUGUCCCGGUUUAAGCGUGUAGGCUGGUUUUCCAGGCAAAUCCGGAAAAUCAAGGCUGAGGCGUGAUGACGAGGCACUACGGUGCUGAAGCAACAAAUGCCCUGCUUCCAGGAAAAGCCUCUAAGCAUCAGGUAACAUCAAAUCGUACCCCAAACCGACACAGGUGGUCAGGUAGAGAAUACCAAGGCGCUUGAGAGAACUCGGGUGAAGGAACUAGGCAAAAUGGUGCCGUAACUUCGGGAGAAGGCACGCUGAUAUGUAGGUGAAGCGACUUGCUCGUGGAGCUGAAAUCAGUCGAAGAUACCAGCUGGCUGCAACUGUUUAUUAAAAACACAGCACUGUGCAAACACGAAAGUGGACGUAUACGGUGUGACGCCUGCCCGGUGCCGGAAGGUUAAUUGAUGGGGUUAGCGGCAACGCGAAGCUCUUGAUCGAAGCCCCGGUAAACGGCGGCCGUAACUAUAACGGUCCUAAGGUAGCGAAAUUCCUUGUCGGGUAAGUUCCGACCUGCACGAAUGGCGUAAUGAUGGCCAGGCUGUCUCCACCCGAGACUCAGUGAAAUUGAACUCGCUGUGAAGAUGCAGUGUACCCGCGGCAAGACGGAAAGACCCCGUGAACCUUUACUAUAGCUUGACACUGAACAUUGAGCCUUGAUGUGUAGGAUAGGUGGGAGGCUUUGAAGUGUGGACGCCAGUCUGCAUGGAGCCGACCUUGAAAUACCACCCUUUAAUGUUUGAUGUUCUAACGUUGGCCCCUUAUCGGGGUUGCGGACAGUGUCUGGUGGGUAGUUUGACUGGGGCGGUCUCCUCCUAAAGAGUAACGGAGGAGCACGAAGGUUGGCUAAUCCUGGUCGGACAUCAGGAGGUUAGUGCAAUGGCAUAAGCCAGCUUGACUGCGAGCGUGACGGCGCGAGCAGGUGCGAAAGCAGGUCAUAGUGAUCCGGUGGUUCUGAAUGGAAGGGCCAUCGCUCAACGGAUAAAAGGUACUCCGGGGAUAACAGGCUGAUACCGCCCAAGAGUUCAUAUCGACGGCGGUGUUUGGCACCUCGAUGUCGGCUCAUCACAUCCUGGGGCUGAAGUAGGUCCCAAGGGUAUGGCUGUUCGCCAUUUAAAGUGGUACGCGAGCUGGGUUUAGAACGUCGUGAGACAGUUCGGUCCCUAUCUGCCGUGGGCGCUGGAGAACUGAGGGGGGCUGCUCCUAGUACGAGAGGACCGGAGUGGACGCAUCACUGGUGUUCGGGUUGUCAUGCCAAUGGCACUGCCCGGUAGCUAAAUGCGGAAGAGAUAAGUGCUGAAAGCAUCUAAGCACGAAACUUGCCCCGAGAUGAGUUCUCCCUGACCCUUUAAGGGUCCUGAAGGAACGUUGAAGACGACGACGUUGAUAGGCCGGGUGUGUAAGCGCAGCGAUGCGUUGAGCUAACCGGUACUAAUGAACCGUGAGGCUUAACCUUACAACGCCGAAGGUGUUU
rnacentral:rRNA from 1 species